UUCUAUGGCCAUGCCACCCUGAACAAAUCCGAUGUGUGAUCUCGGAAGCUAAGCAAGGUCAGGCCUGGUUAGUACUUGGAUGGGAGACCACUUAGGAAGACUAGGUACUAUAGGCA
rnacentral:rRNA from 1 species